rnacentral:rRNA from 1 species
AUUGAACGCUGGCGGGAUGCUUUACACAUGCAAGUCGAGCGGCAGCACGGGGGCAACCCUGGUGGCGAGCGGCGAACGGGUGAGUAAUACAUCGGAACAUGCCCAGUCGUGGGGGAUAACACUUCGAAAGAAGUGCUAAUACCGCAUACGUCCUGAGGGGGAAAGCGGGGGAUCGCAAGACCUCGCGCGAUUGGAGUGGCCGAUGUCAGAUUAGCUAGUUGGUGGGGUAAAGGCCUACCAAGGCAACGAUCUGUAGCUGGUCUGAGAGGAUGAUCAGCCACACUGGGACUGAGACACGGCCCAGACUCCUACGGGAGGCAGCAGUGGGGAAUUUUGGACAAUGGGGGCAACCCCGAUCCAGCCAUUCCGCGUGAGUGAAGAAGGCCUUCGGGUUGUAAAGCUCUUUCGGCAGGAACGAAACGGUGAGCUCUAACAUAGCUUGCUAAUGACGGUACCUGAAGAAGAAGCACCGGCUAACUACGUG